GUCUAAGGCCAUGCCACCCUGAAUGUGCUCAAUCUCGUCUGAUCUCGGAAGCUAAGCAGGGUCGGGCCUAUUUAGUACUUGGAUGGGAGACCACCUAGGAAUACCAGGUGCUGUAGGCA
rnacentral:rRNA from 1 species